rnacentral:lncRNA from 1 species
GAGACAAGGGUCUCGAAGCUUCUGUUCUCUGCAGACAUGGUGUAAACCCUAGUCUCUAAUCUUCUUCAUUUCCUCCAUUUCUUCAUGUUAACAUGCUUCAAAGCCGAGAUCCGUCUAAAUCCUGUGCUGAGAAUUCGAUCGAUUCUACUCCUGUGUUCUCUCAUUGCUUUUCUAUCUACUUCGUCCGAUUUUGAUUUCUUUCGGUGUUCAUGGUUUGGUGUUUGAUUUUUCUGUUUAAAUUUUCUCCAAUAGUGAGUUCAAUAAUCCACUCCCGUGCAUCGCAACAGUGAAUUUUACUUUCAGACGACUUCAAGGAUUUCGACUGAAAUUAGGGCUUGCUCGUAUCGAACUUCUAUGAUAGUGGAUGUUGUUGAAGUGCUUUCUUCUAGUUAAAGGCCGUAGCUUUUUUCGGUUUCGAAAGAGGUUAGAUAACAUCAACUUCAUUCUUCAUUACAUCUUUGUAUUUUUGCUUGCAUGACCUAGGUUUUUUGUAUAAUUGAUUGUGAAUGUGAUAAUAUGACUAACAGAACUCCUGAUACAUUUUCAACUCCUACAAUUUCUCGCACCGCCAUCCAUGAGGAUGACUAUACUCAUCCAUGUCAUCCUUUCUAUGUGCAUCCAUUAGAUGGUUUGGGGACCUCGUUGGUCUCCACCCCAUUUGAUGGAACAAUAUAUGGCAGUUGGAGCCGUAAUGUCCUUGCUGCACUUUUAAUUAGAAACAAACUAGAUUUUAUAAAUGGAAUUUCCCAGAAGCCUUCACCUACUUCACCUCUUGCCAAACAAUGGAAGAGGUGUAAUGACCUUGUCAUCUCCUGGUUGGUAAACUCCUUGUCUAAGGAAAUAUCUCGCUGUGUGGAAUAUUCAGAGUUUGCUAGUGAAAUUUGGAACGAGUUAGAAGAGAAGUAUGAUAAGGAUGAUAGUGCUAGAGUCUUUGAACUUAAGAAAGAGUUAGCACACUAGGGUCUCUUGACAUAUGCUCAUAUUUUGACUAAAUCAAAUAAUUAUGGGAUGAGAUAACUUCCAUAUCUGCUGGUCGAACUAAGGUGUGUUCUUGUGGGGCUAAGUCCGCAGAAGAUGAGGAACAAAGAGCUUAUCAGUUUUUAAUGGGUUUGAAUAAUACAUAUGUCCAAACCAGGAGUAAUAUUCUGAUGAUGAAGCCUCUUCCUUCAGUUGGAGCUGUGUAUAACAUCCUAUUAUCUGAUGAGAAGUAGAGAAAUGUGUCUGAUGGGACUCAGUUUCUUUCUACCUCUGCAUCUUUUAGUGUUGGUGUCUCCGGGCAGAGUUGUCCUUCAAAGGUGAACUUUGAACCAUCUAAACCAAGUCUCACCUAUAAAAACUAUAAGAAACCUGGCCAUACUAUAGACAAGUGUUACAAAAUCCAUGGUUAUCCUCCAAAUUUUAAGUUUGCUAGAUCUCCUAGUCUUAGAAAGGCUAAUGCACAUGUUGAGCUUACCAGCCAUCCUGAAUUUGGCACUGGUGACAUCUCUACUGAGCAUGGUGCUCUUCCACGGUAUGAAGAUAUGUCUUCUAUCCCUGGGUUUACCAAAUAUUAGUAUUCUCAAUUGAUGUUAUUACUUCAACAGUCACAUCUAUCUCCUUCUCCAUCUGCUUCAAACUUAAUGGGGUCAGCCAAUUUUGCUGGUAAGUUAAUUCCUCCUGGUGUGUCUUAUGGUGCAUGUAUGUUGACCAAAAUGGAUGGUAUAGUAUGGAUCAUAGACUUUGGGGCUUCUGACCAUAUACUAGAAAUUUACUCUUUAAUGCCUAAACCUUACCUGUUCCACACCUUGUUUCUCUUCCAAAUAGGUAUAAAGUCAAGAUUACCAAUUUGCCUGACUUGAUAUUGCACAAUGUACUUUAUGUUCCUAGUUUUCAAUAUAAUCUUAUUUCUGUCCACAAAUUACUCUUUCAAUGUGAUGACAUGGUACAUUUUACCAAGUUUGCUUGUACUUUACAGGGUCCUUCAGUGAGGAAGCUAGUGGCACUUGGUAAGAUGGACAAUGGAUUCUACAAGCUAUUUCCGUCUGUCAUUGCUCCUAACCCAGAUUUUUCUUCUCUUGCUCAUCCUGUUGUUUCAAGUGUUUCGGUUUCUAAUUCUUCUGUUCAUGCUAGUGUAACUGAUGAAUGUUCCCCUGUUAGUACCAUGUCAGCUAUUGAUAAUAUAAUUAAAGCUGAGGUUGAUGGCAUUACAGACUUGGGCAUAUUCCGUUCUCUAAACUAAACACUAUAUCUGCUAUAAAUUGUAAAUUUCCUCAUAAAUAAUUCUUUAAUCGUCCCAUUUCCCUUUAGCUAAG